AUACGGAGGAUCCGAGCGUUAUCCGGAUUUAUUGGGUUUAAAGGGUGCGUAGGCGGCCUUUUAAGUCAGCGGUGAAAGUCUGUGGCUCAACCAUAGAAUUGCCGUUGAAACUGGGGGGCUUGAGUAUGUUUGAGGCAGGCGGAAUGCGUGGUGUAGCGGUGAAAUGCAUAGAUAUCACGCAGAACCCCGAUUGCGAAGGCCCCCUGCCAAGCCAUGACUGACGCUGAUGCACGAAAGCGUGGGGAUCAAACAGGAUUAGAUACCCUGGUAGUCCACGCAGUAAACGAUGAUCACUAGCUGUUUGCGAUACACUGUAAGCGGCACAGCGAAAGCGUUAAGUGAUCCACCUGGGGAGUACGCCGGCAACGGUGAAACUCAAAUGAAUUGACGGGG
rnacentral:rRNA from 1 species